ACCUUACUCUUCUCGUCAGGGUAGAGUACAUGGGUCGACUGAAGAGUGAUCUGCUGUCAAUUUGGUGGGGCUUCACUGAGACCCC